rnacentral:ncRNA from 1 species
GGCACUUUUUAUCAAAAGGUGCUGGCAGAUGUAAGUCCGACGUGCCGAAGGCACGGCCUGCAUUACAGGCUAGGGAUUAC